AACGAACGCUGGCGGCAUGCCUAACACAUGCAAGUCGAACGAGAUCUUCGGGUCUAGUGGCGCACGGGUGCGUAACGCGUGGGAAUCUGCCCUUUGGUUCGGAAUAACAGUUGGAAACGACUGCUGAUACCGGAUGAUGACGAAAGUCCAAAGAUUUAUCGCCAGAGGAUGAGCCCGCGUAGGAUUAGCUAGUUGGUGUGGUAAAGGCGCACCAAGGCGACGAGCCUUAGCUGGUCUGAGAGGAUGAUCAGCCACACUGGGACUGAGAAACGGCCCAGACUCCUACGGGAGGCAGCAGUGGGGAAUAUUGGACAAUGGGCGAAAGACUGAUCCAGCAAUGCCGCGUGAGUGAUGAAGGCCUUAGGGUUGUAAAGCUCUUUUACCCGGGAUGAUAAUGACAGUACCGGGAGAAUAAGCUCCGGCUAACUCCGUGCCAGCAGCCGCAGUAA
rnacentral:rRNA from 1 species